rnacentral:rRNA from 1 species
AGAUUGAACGCUGGCGGCAUGCCUUACACAUGCAAGUCGAACGGCAGCACGGGAGCAAUCCUGGUGGCGAGUGGCGAACGGGUGAGUAAUACAUCGGAACGUGCCCAAUCGUGGGGGAUAACGCAGCGAAAGCUGUGCUAGUACCGCAUAAGAUCUACGGAUGAAAGCAGGGGAUCGCAAGACCUUGCGCGAAUGGAGCGGCCGAUGGCAGAUUAGGUAGUUGGUGAGGUAAAGGCUCACCAAGCCUUCGAUCUGUAGCUGGUCUGAGAGGACGACCAGCCACACUGGGACUGAGACACGGCCCAGACUCCGUACGGGA